rnacentral:snoRNA from 1 species
AAUCCAUGAUGUGGGCAGCAUCUUAAAAGAUCCUUGAACCUCUCCCAUGCUUUCGUCAUCAAACUGUACAAAAGAAGAUAUGUCAUUUCUAAGUUU